AGAACAGACGAGGGAGACACAACAGAGAGCAGGAAGAAACAAGGGACGUAGGGGUAAAAUGUGGGUCUCAGGUGGCGUGGGACUUGUGGUGGAGAGGGACCAAGAACAGGACUGGAGGUGAGGCUAGACGAGAGGACGAUCGAGAUCUGCGAGGCCGGUGCUGAUGCUCUAUGGGCGUACAGGAGGAUUCGGCGCAGUGAGACGUGUGAUCGACCGCAGAACGGAAACGGAGAAGAUGGUCAGAGAGGAAUAGUCCCGCGCCACCCCCACUAUGGAGCGAGAGGGACCGAGAGACCGGACAGGGACACAGACGAGGAGGCAGAGGUCAGGGAAGCAGUGGACUGGGAAGCAGAGGACGCGGAGAUGAGCAUACGGGCUGAAGCAUUGACAGCCGUGACGACCUGAAGGAAGUGCAGGCGAACGAGCGGUGGUGCAGCUUGGGACGCAUUGGCAGAGGCUGAAGCAGGGGAUGCAGUCCCCUCAAUGAAAGAUUCAACGCCUGUGUAUACAGAUAAGUAAACGUCUCCAGUGUGGGUAGCCCAACGCAACGUGGAGUGGCGUAAGCGAAGACGAGCCCAGGCCACCCCAGACGGAAUUGGCCGCCCCUCUCGAGACCUGCGUAUUUGAACAGACUGUUACAUAUACUUGGACAUUGUGGUGGAAGUUCGGAUUGACCUCGUCGGACCUCCUCCUUUUUUUUUUAUUACCUCUUUAUAUUUGGAGAACUGUUUUUAUCUUUUACCUAGAUUUAAAUAAAGUGUUUUUAAUUUUUUAAGU